GAGUUUCCUUGUUUGCUGCAUUUGUUGGCUGGAAGUAAUCUAAGUUCUGCAUCGUUGGAUACAAACCUGCAAGAAGCAGAUGAAUGAAAUCUGUUCUUAGACACAAUGAAUAGAACUUGUAUAUCUUUGUUCCCAACAGAUGCAUGAUUAAGCCAUUUAGUUUUUAGGUAUGUAGAUGAAGGGAAUAAAUUUAUAAAUCAUACAAAAUAACCUAAUUACAUGGCAGUGACUUUGAUGGCUCGAAAGUAUUCCCUUUGGGACAAUGGCUAGAGCUUAGAUGUUCCAGUGUUGCCAGUUUUAGUCUACUAUGAAUCAGUAUAGCUUUACUAUUGAUGAGGACCAUAUGCUGAUUAAAUAAUAUCAGUAAACUUAAUUUUGUGACAGUGGCUUUUUAGUAAAAGUUGAUACAUUGUUGACUGUGUUAUAGUCCUUCCAUGAAUAUGAAUUUGUAAAUACACAUUCUUGAACUUCUGUUAUUUUAAACUUAAGUUUCGUCAAUUAAAUGGAAAUUUGACUUUCAUUUUACUUGAGCAAGAAAACUGCUCAAUUCAGAACUAGGAAAAAAUAUAUUGUAAUUCGCUCUGCUAGAAGAAUGGCCACUCUUUUUCAGUUCAAUCGUAUUGAACUACCACCAUUUUUUCUUCUCUUACUGUUUUUCUAAGGGAAGAGGAGGGGUAAGUGGGGGUGGUUUUAUCAGGUAGUCUUGCUAGAAAACUGACCACUCUUCUAUUUAUCAAUCUGAUGAUUGAACUAACAAGUACCAUCAGUUUCUCUUCUAUUUUUGGUGGGGGUGGGGUAGAGUUGUGUUGGUUUAUUCCAUAUUACAAAACAUGUCAAGUGCUGAUUUCUAUUUAUUGGUUUACAUAUCAAAUUGUCCAGAGUGAGUUAAACAUAUUAUCUUCCCAUGAGAAGAUUGGACCACAUGCGGAUAUGCUUAUUUCAAGUUUCUGCAUGGAUAUGGAGCAUGUAAGUUGCCCAUUUGAGUUAUAAAAUGACACAAAAGCUUGUUUCCACUGAAAAGUCCAUAUUACCUGAAGUUGAACAUAAAUAUGAUAUAAUACAAGCGAAACAAUGACUGAUACCUUUCCCAAGAUAUGAGAUUAUAUGUCUAUCAUAGAAUUAUGACACCACCUGUCUUCAAGUUUAAUGGUGAAAGGCACAGCUUAUGUCAAGUGGA
rnacentral:lncRNA from 1 species